rnacentral:lncRNA from 1 species
AAAAAAGAAGGUUGUAAAUGGGACUCUCCUGAGCUCAUCCUGCCUGCUACCGGAGAGCAGCAAGUGGGGAAGGGCCUGGUGACCAGGACAAACUUCACUCCCCUGGAACAUGCAGUUCUUCCAGGGGCAAAGAGUUUUCCAAAUACUUCGUUCACAGGUCCAUUUUACACUCAAGAAUCUUCAUAAGGGAGCAAUGAGAACAGAAGUUCAAUGUCAACUUUGAGGGCGAAUACAGUUGCAGAAUUCCCAGGGCAGUGGCCAAAAGGCAAGAGAAAUAAGCACUUUGUUGAGUGUUCAUUCCAGUUACCUGGGAUGCACAGAGUCCCGCCGAGCAGGAUUCAAAGCCACGUUCAGGCUGAGCUGAAGACAGGCAGCUCGAAGUGGAGAUCACAGGUGUGUGUAACUCCUGAACUUGGCCUAGAUAAACAUGUCAAAUGAGUGGGUUUCUGGUGUCCAGUUUGAUCCACAGAGAGAACUCUUGAAGUGGACGGCAGGCAGGAUCCUCAGAUGUUUGUUGGAAAAUAGCACUUUUCUCCCUGGGGACUUUGAGAGGAGCCUGGAGGCUGAUUGGAGUUUCUCCCAAUGCUUUGGUUACCCAGGAAGCAGAUGGGGGUUGAUCGCCUUGCACUAUAGAACUGGAUUCAAGGCCCUGCCACCUCCAUACAGGGACAGGGGCCAGGCACUUCCAGAAAUUGUGAAACAGUUAUCCCCACAGGAGAGCCUUUCCAGAACUUGCACUUUCUCUUACUUUCCUGUAUUGUUAGAACUUAUAACACAUGCUAAGUUUGUAAUCAGAAAAGAAUAUAGGUACAUAUAGUACAUUUCUGUGCUGAUUUAUUUAAUGCACACAUGCCUUGUUUAACUUGGAAUCCAUUAUUAAUCAGUUGACUAUUAACUGUGGUUCAAUAGGCCACCUGGAUUAACAGUGUUGUUGGACAGCCCUAAAAAUAGCCAGAUGUGGAACAGCUGCUGAAGGUGAUACUUUCAAAAAGCAAAAUAAAUAAAUAAAAGAACACAGAUUAUUUAAGCUUCUGU